AUAUAUUUGGGGUAGUGUCAGUCCAACCAACACUAUAAUAUUUUAAAACAUAAAAUUAGGGGUAAUGUCGACUUACCCAACGAUUAUGAGUAUUUUUUUUUUUAAAUAUUACUAAACACUUCACUUUCACACUAUGUCCAUUUUCUCCUUCUUCUUCACAGAAAAACACAACCAUUUUUUCUUCUCCAAUAGCUCUAACACCCCCAACACACACACACACACAAUUACUACUUCCAACUCCACAUCCCACUACCUGUUAGGUUUAUCGAGGACGAGGUUCAUUGGGGAGAUACAACACCAAUGAGACUUGAGCCCAACCACAUAAGAGAUUGACACCACUCUCUACCCAAAAUCUUAAGGCUAAUGGGUUAAUGGAUUUUCCACCUUAUAUGGUGCUCUACUUUCUUAUUUCUACCCAAUGUGAGACUUAGACUCACACUUGAAAUUCUAACCGUCUCCCCCUUCAAGGGGAGUCCCUUCCACAUUGGUACACUUCCUCUCUAGCAGAAGCAUUCGAGUAUUUUUUUUUUUUCGUUUUGUUGUUCAUCUUAACGAGACACUCUUACUUGGAAUAAUUUUCCAUGAAGACUUUUGUACUCAUUUGAGCCUAACUUGGCUCUGAUACCACUUAUUAGUUUAUCGAGGAGGAGGUUUAUUAGGGAGAUACAACAUCAAUGAGACCUGAGCCCAACCACAUAAGGGAUUAACAUCACUCUCUACCACAACCCUUAAGGCUAAUGGGUUAAUGGAUCUUCAACCUUAUAUGAUGCUCUACUUUUUCAUUUCUACCCAAUGUGAGACUUAUACUCACAUUUGGAAUUCUAACACUACCUAAAACACUCUCAUUUUCACCUUCUCCAUCCUUUUUUACAUUAAAAUACCAUACUCCACCCACCGACAACACCCAAGAACCAUACAUUCAUGUCAUUCCCUUCUCUUAUUCUCCUUACUUCCUUACUCAACUCACCCACAUUUCAUAGAGCACUCAUCAUCCACACAAAACACUCAUUUUCUUCUUUUUCUUCUUCAUUUUUUAAUUAGCCCUUAUCAAAGAACUAAGUCCAUACCAUCUCCACUCACCCUCACCACCUUACCUCAUUCAUGUUGCAUUGACCAUUAAAUCAACCUAUAUAUAAAUUGUUCAAACAUAGAUUCGUGGUUCAAAAUUUGGACCAUUAGAUCAAAAUUAAUCUAUGAUUCUUAUUCAUUCCCACCAACACACAUAAAUUCAUAAUAUAUAAUUUAGUAU
rnacentral:lncRNA from 1 species